GGCGGGCCCGACUUGGCCCCGUCUCCUCCCGUAGGGAGUGCGGGAUCCGCGAGACGUGGCAGCGCCAAGGCCCGGAGGGUGGGGGCAUCAUCCUGGAGUCUCGCGGGGGACCUAGACGGCUUCAAAUCCGACCGAGUGCGUUCCCAGACGCUGGGGGAAAAUCAGAAGUGGCGACCAGCAGAUAAGAAAACUGAGUCAAAUGGAAAGAUGAAUGAUGCUUUUGGAUGGGAAGACUCAGUAUCAUAAAGAUCUCAAUUUUCUGUUAUGAGACAAACACCCCGUUUACUUGAGUUUUAAAAGGGUAUUUCCUUUGCCCCACUUGAAUGACCAAUAAAGACAAGUCCAGUUGGCAAAGUGAAAGGGGAGUGUUAUGUGUGUGUUUUUUAAACUACCCUGUUUGUUCCUAAAAUUCAAAUGGAAAAAUAAACAAGAAUAGUCAGAAAACAGGCUCUGAAGAAGAACAACAACGAGAGGGAUCUAGCACUAUCAGAUAUUAAAACAUUAUAGAUCCUCAGUAAUUAAAACAGUUUGGUACUAGUGCACAAAAAGGCACAC